GACGAACGCUGGCGGCGUGCCUAAUACAUGCAAGUCGAACGCAGUGGGGACGGGUGAGUAACACGUGGGUAACCUCCCAUCAGAGGGGGAUACACUUGGAAACAGGUGCUAUACCGACACUGAUGGUUGGACCCGCGGGGCAUUAGCUAGUUGGUGGGGUAACGGCUCAAAAAGGCAACGAUGCAUAGCCGACCUGAGAGGGUGAGCGGCCACACGGGGACUGAGACACGGCCCAGACUCCUACGGGAGGCAGCAGUGGGGAAUAUUCCACAAUGGACGAAAGUCUGACCGAGCAACGCCGCGUGAAUGAAGAAGGUUUUAGGAUCGUAAAGCACUGUUGUUAGAGAGGCGGUAUCUAACCAGAAAGCCACGGAUAACUACGUGCCAGCAGCCGCGGUAAUAC
rnacentral:rRNA from 1 species